rnacentral:rRNA from 1 species
ACUCAGGUGUUGUUGGGUAGGGGAGCGUUCUGUAAGCCUGCGAAGGUGGCCUGUGAGGGUUGCUGGAGGUAUCAGAAGUGCGAAUGCUGACAUAAGUAACGAUAAAGCGGGUGAAAAGCCCGCUCGCCGGAAGACCAAGGGUUCCUGUCCAACGUUAAUCGGGGCAGGGUGAGUCGACCCCUAAGGCGAGGCCGAAAGGCGUAGUCGAUGGGAAACGGGUUAAUAUUCCCGUACUUGGUGUUACUGCGAAGGGGGGACGGAGAAGGCUAUGUUGGCCGGGCGACGGUUGUCCCGGUUUAAGCGUGUAGGUGUGUGUUCCAGGUAAAUCCGGUUCACUUUAACACUGAGGCGUGACGACGAGGCACUACGGUGCUGAAGCAACAAAUGCCCUGCUUCCAGGAAAAGCCUCUAAGCAUCAGGUAACAUCAAAUCGUACCCCAAACCGACACAGGUGGUCAGGUAGAGAAUACCAAGGCGCUUGAGAGAACUCGGGUGAAGGAACUAGGCAAAAUGGUGCCGUAACUUCGGGAGAAGGCACGCUGACACGUAGGUGAAGUGAUUUACUCAUGGAGCUGAAGUCAGUCGAAGAUACCAGCUGGCUGCAACUGUUUAUUAAAAACACAGCACUGUGCAAACACGAAAGUGGACGUAUACGGUGUGACGCCUGCCCGGUGCCGGAAGGUUAAUUGAUGGGGUCAGCGCAAGCGAAGCUCCUGAUCGAAGCCCCGGUAAACGGCGGCCGUAACUAUAACGGUCCUAAGGUAGCGAAAUUCCUUGUCGGGUAAGUUCCGACCUGCACGAAUGGCGUAAUGAUGGCCAGGCUGUCUCCACCCGAGACUCAGUGAAAUUGAACUCGCUGUGAAGAUGCAGUGUACCCGCGGCAAGACGGAAAGACCCCGUGAACCUUUACUAUAGCUUGACACUGAACAUUGAGCCUUGAUGUGUAGGAUAGGUGGGAGGCUUUGAAGUGUGGACGCCAGUCUGCAUGGAGCCGACCUUGAAAUACCACCCUUUAAUGUUUGAUGUUCUAACGUGGACCCGUGAUCCGGGUUGCGGACAGUGUCUGGUGGGUAGUUUGACUGGGGCGGUCUCCUCCUAAAGAGUAACGGAGGAGCACGAAGGUUGGCUAAUCCUGGUCGGACAUCAGGAGGUUAGUGCAAUGGCAUAAGCCAGCUUGACUGCGAGCGUGACGGCGCGAGCAGGUGCGAAAGCAGGUCAUAGUGAUCCGGUGGUUCUGAAUGGAAGGGCCAUCGCUCAACGGAUAAAAGGUACUCCGGGGAUAACAGGCUGAUACCGCCCAAGAGUUCAUAUCGACGGCGGUGUUUGGCACCUCGAUGUCGGCUCAUCACAUCCUGGGGCUGAAGUAGGUCCCAAGGGUAUGGCUGUUCGCCAUUUAAAGUGGUACGCGAGCUGGGUUUAGAACGUCGUGAGACAGUUCGGUCCCUAUCUGCCGUGGGCGCUGGAGAACUGAGGGGGGCUGCUCCUAGUACGAGAGGACCGGAGUGGACGCAUCACUGGUGUUCGGGUUGUCAUGCCAAUGGCACUGCCCGGUAGCUAAAUGCGGAAGAGAUAAGUGCUGAAAGCAUCUAAGCACGAAACUUGCCCCGA